rnacentral:tRNA from 1 species
UAUGAGGUAGUUUAAAAAAAAUUUUGAACUUUGAAUUCAAAGACGGUAAUUAAAUUUUUACCCCUCAUA